rnacentral:rRNA from 1 species
AGGACGAACGCUGGCGGCGUGCUUAACACAUGCAAGUCGAGCGGUAAGGCCCUUUCGGGGGUACACGAGCGGCGAACGGGUGAGUAACACGUGAGUAAUCUGCCCUCCACUUGGGGAUAAGCUUCGGAAACGGGGUCUAAUACCUGAUACGACAACUACCUGCAUGGGUUGGUUGUGGAAAGUUUUUUCGGUGGGGGAUGUGCUCGCGGCCUAUCAGCUUGUUGGUGGGGUAAUGGCCUACCAAGGCUUCGACGGGUAGCCGGCCUGAGAGGGUGACCGGCCACACUGGGACUGAGACACGGCCCAGACUCCUACGGGAGGCAGCAGUGGGGAAUAUUGGACAAUGGGCGGAAGCCUGAUCCAGCAACGCCGCGUGAGGGAUGACGGCCUGGUUGUAACGUACUUUCUAGUACGUACGAAGCGCCGUCGUGGUGGUGACGGUAGGUACGAGAAGAAGACGACCGCCAACCUACGUCGCCGACGCGAGCCGC